GAUGGGCCCGCGCCCGAUUAGCUAGUUGGUGAGGUAACGGCUCACCAAGGCUUCGAUCGGUAACCGGCCUGAGAGGGCGAUCGGUCACACCGGAACUGAGACACGGUCCGGACUCCUACGGGAGGCAGCAGUGGGGAAUCUUGCGCAAUGGGCGAAAGCCUGACGCAGCAACGCCGCGUGGAGGAUGAAGGCCCUUGGGUUGUAAACUCCUGUCGGCUGGGAAGAAAUCGUUCGUGGCUCAUACCCACGGACGUUGACUGUACCAGCAAAGGAAGCCCCGGCUAACUCUGUGCCAGCAGCCGCGGUAAUACAGAGGGGGCUAGCGUUAUUCGGAAUUAUUGGGCGUAAAGGGCGCGUAGGCGGCCAUGCGUGUCUUCCGUGAAAUCCCUCGGCUUAACUGAGGACGUGCGGAAGAAACUGCAAGGCUCGAGUCCGGGAGAGGGGGGUGGAAUUCCCAGUGUAGCGGUGAAAUGCGUAGAUAUUGGGAGGAACACCGGUGGCGAAGGCGGCCCCCUGGACCGGUACUGACGCUGAGGCGCGAAAGCGUGGGUAGCAAACGGGAUUGGAU
rnacentral:rRNA from 1 species